GAAAUUCCUUUAUGUGUAUCGUGUGAAUAUUGUAUCCAGCAAGAAAUCAUCCUUCAAGUAACUCGUUCUUUUUCUAUUUCUCAAGCUCUUCCUAUUGCCCUAGGUAUUCGGGAAAUACUAGAUGAAGAUUGUAGAACUGGAGUUGGCACAAGAGGUGGAACAGGAGCUUGCUAAGGAGUUGUCACUGGAUUUUAUGGCACAGAAGGUGGAACACCAGCUCGCAAAGGAGUUGUCAUGGGAUUUGACCCGUGAGCUGGUUCAGAAGCGUGUGAAGAUGAAGAAUUUAUUUCAUCCAGACUUGUACGACAACGUGGUGUAGAUGCUACAACCAAACCUGUAGUUUUUUAAUAAAACUAUUUGCCAGGUUUAAAGCCAGGGCAAAAUCCAGCACUCUUCGUAGUUUUUAUCUCAUGUUUUCUUAUGGUCUGUUUCAUUACAAAGGUAGACAAGGCAAACCAAUUUCAUGUAAGUUAGAAAAGAAAAAUCUUCCAAAAUCAUAGGAAUUUGUUUUCCACUCAAUUGGGCAAAAACAUGCUUUAAGCGUUUGUACUUUGAAAAGAAAAACCAAUUUCACAUAAGGUAAAAAAGGGAAAAAAAAAAUCAAAA
rnacentral:lncRNA from 1 species